AACUUCUGGAAGAAUUUCAUCUUAACAGGUAUUGCAUCAGUGUUUUUCAAAGACCCAAGACUGUGUGUAUGGCAUUUGGAAUUAAGCAAUGCUGCCCUCUAGAGGACUCUAAGGUGCAUCUGACUCGUAACCGUCAGGAAAGAACUGGGACAGAGAAAAAGUCCAAGAAUGGAAUGGCAUGUUAGGAUGAGGAACCAUUGCCCUUAUCCCUAUGUGGAACUCCCAGAAGAGCUCAACUUGUAAAGUAUCUCUUUACCAAAAGCUGCAGCUCAGCAAAGGGAAUCCUACUAGACAAGUCCAGUAGCUCCAGCAGUCACAUAGAAGAUGCCUGCUCAUCAUUCACUUGUCUCAGCAAAUUUCAUCUCAUGUAUUGUCUCCCUCACUGGAAUGCCAGCUCCCUGACAGCAAAGGCUCUUUUGACCUCCGUGCCUCUAGACUAGUCCUUAGAGGAGUGCCUGGUAUAUAGGAGGUAUGCUUGGCACAUGGAAAACUCAAUGCUCACUGAAUUGCUGCAUUCUGAAGAGAGAGAUUUUCGAAAACUAACUAAUUCCAGAAAAGAAAGCAUUUCUUUAAAAGAUUUCCUUUUUCAAGAAAUCCCCAGCACCUUGUAGUUGAUCAAAAGCAUAUUCUGAGAUAUUACUGAAAUUCAAAAUAAUAUUCUUACAUAAUGUCUUUUAACAAGUCACAAUAAUUUAAAAAAAUAUAGUAAUUUGGAAUUACCAAGUAGUUACCAGUCUUGGUUAAAUUCCUCUUACAGUCUUACUUUGGAAAAACAAAAACUGAUGGUUUGUUUUAACCUGUUGUAUUAUCUAUUCUUACUAUAUAACUUUGUCAAUGUCAUUCACUUUUCAUUGGUUGUUUUGGUCAUCUUAGUGGAUUACUCUUUCCAUUUAAUAGUUUAUAGCAUAUUAUUUUUCUGGGAGUACUCAAUAAGAUGCAUGACUCAUUUUUUUCCUGCUUUCAAAAAAUGUAUUUUCCUAUUAAAAUUCUCAAACAAAUAAUUUUGCAUAUUCAAAACCCUGGUUAGCAGUUAAUAUUUUGGUUUUACUCAAGUCUUUCAGUUAAUGUAAAAGUAAUUAUGACAUUCCUUGGGACUAGACUUUGUAGGUAUAAGAAUUACAUUUCUAUCUUCUCAAAUUCCAUGCUCAUAAACUAAGCUAUCUAACAUAAUAAUACAUAGCACAAAAAAAUAUAUGGGUUUUUUAAGAUGUCAAAACCCCUACAUGCCAUCAACACCUGCUCUUUGCUAGACGUUUCACUAUUUCUGUUUACCCCAACAAACUCUUAUAUCUAGUUUGUUUUCAUGCUCUCCAUUACCAGUCAUUUCUUUUGGUUCAUUUGUAUUUAGAUCUUCAGCUGUUGAUUGGAGAGCUACUACUGUAGAUGUAAACCUGAACAGAAUGAUUUCUACUUUCAAAUAGCUCAUAUGUGAAAAUAAUUAUAAUACUAUUUAAUCCAAACCAUAAAAAUAUAGUUUACCCCUGAACAACGUCGGGUUUAGGGGGACUGACACCCUGUGCAAUCAGAGAAUCAGCAUGCGCUUCCUCCAUUUCAGUGGCCAGGCAUCCAUGGAUUCAACCAACUGCUGGUCGUGUAGUACUGUAGCAUUUGCUAUUGAAAGUAAUCUGCAUAUAAGUGAAACUGCACAGUUCAAACCUGUGUUGUUCAAGAGUCUACUGUAUUUCUUCUGUCUGCAGGGUUCAGAGAUCUGUCACAAGCAUCUAUUGAAUGUUAAAUGUGUUCUCCAGAUAGAUGUGUUAGCUUGCAAAGGAAUGGUCAUUUUCCUUAAAAGAGAUCGAAAAUUAUGCAAGUCAGAGUAGUUGUAGAUCUUGUAGGGGAGGAAACUUUUCCUUUCUUCCCUUCUAGGUUCUUUGGCUGUUCUAAUAAUUAAAUUGACAUAAGGCAGACUAAUAGAAGAAAAGCAAAUUUAAUUUCACAUGUGCGGGAUCCCAUAAAAAUAUGAGACUCAAAGAAGUGAACAAAACAGGCAGCUUUUAUACCAUUAGUCAAGGAAACAAUACAUCUGUGAAGAACUGACAAGACAAAGGGGUUCAGGCUUGGGGUGGCAAACUGGUGAAGAAGUAACAAGGUUUAUUUAUACAGCCUUCUUGGUCCCAAAUUCUCUGUCUCUGGUGAUAAGGAUGCCUUCUACCCCUCUGGUAGAGGGAGGGUAAAUUUCAUAUGGGGGAUUUAUUUUCUGCCUUCAGGGGGGCAAAGGAAGUCACAGUGUUACUCUUAUAUCAGUUGUUUAACUUUAAUUCAAAAAAUUAAUAUGCUCAAGUAGCAUAUUUGGGGGUGGCAUAUUCUGCUCCCCUUCAAUAUCAAGAGAUCUUUCAUAAAUGCAAAUCUGAUCACAGUGUAUCUCUGAAAAAAAUUCAUCAAUGGCUUCUUUUUUCCAUUAAUUAACCCCCUUGGCUUGCUUAAUAAACCCUUAACCAUCUGACUUGAUAGUUUACCAGUCCUGUUUCUAAUAGUUUCCUGCACUGCGCCACCCUUCAAAAGAUGAAAAUUUUGUACUUUGGUCAUACAAAACUGUUUACAUAAUGACUAUACUCUUAUAAUUUUGUAUUUGCAUAAGCUGUUUCCUGUGCCCAAAAUCCUCUUUCUGAUUUUGUUUACCUUUGCUUUCCAACCCAUCCAACUUGUCAGAGUAGAGUUUGGGAACCCUAUCCUCUGUGCUCCCAAUUGCAUCUGAUGUCUCUCUCUCUCUCUCCCUCUCUGUAUAUAUAUAUAUGUAUGUGUGUGUUUGUGUGUGUGUGUGUAUAUAUAUAUAUACAUAUAUAUAUAUACACAAAUAUGUAUAAAAUAAUCAUUUCUUCCCUGUCUUACUUCUUAAUGACCAAACAUCUUAUUCAUUUCUGUGUCUCUAAUAAGAAGUGUAUGUUAUAAAGGUUCAAGAAGUGAUUGUAAAGUAGACAAAUUUAUAUAUCAGUGUGUCAAAAUGUUUAUAUACAUAUAACAUGUGAUAUUAUAUAGAUAAAAUAUAUAGUAUCUGGAUUUCAGAAAAUAUAUGAAUAUUAAACUGGAUUUUUCAAAAUUUCCUUGGAUAUUAAAUGUGAUACAGCAAUAAUAUUUUCAACACUUCCUCCUUCUGUCCAUGUCUGGUGUCUAUUCAUUUGUUUUCCUAUUAUUAGCAAGAUAAGAUUAAAGACUUUCUUUUACUUUUUGCCAUUUUCUUUAUAUGAUUUUCUAUCCAUGUCACCACACUGUGUCAGCUCUAUGAUUGGUGUUUCAUUAGCAAUGUCCCUUGAAAAUAAUUGUUGUCAUUGGCCCCAAAGGUACACACUGAAAUUAGACCACAUCAAUAGAUUCUAGAACAUAGACAGCUUUAGAAUUAGGCUCUGCCUAUUUAUCUUUAACAGAUUGAAAAUUAAUUGAGAGUAAAAGGGAAAAAUCAGUUUUCUCCUCUUUGUCCUACAGGAGAUAUUGGGAAUCUAAAUGUUAAUUCUGGCUUUGUGUUAACAAGGAAACCUCUACUUCCUUUGAUUGUAUCUUUCUCACACAAAAAGUAAUUUUUUUUUCUUGAUUUACAUCAACUUUAAAGUAUGUUUGCCUCUGGUAACUUGUAAAUUAAAGAGCUUUUAUUGUA